ensembl:snRNA U4 U4 spliceosomal RNA
AGCUUAGCACAGUGGCAAGUAUCAUAGCCAAUGAGGUUUAUCUGAGGCACAGUUAUUGCUAAUUGAGAAGAACUAUUGCUUCUACAGUUUAUACUCUUCAAUGAAAUUGAAAGGGAAGCAGUACUCCAAAUUCAUUUCUGGAAGCAAGCAUCACCUUG